UAUAGUCUGCUUGGCCACUGAGGAAGAGAGAUUUGUUGCUAGCAACAAGUACUUAGAACGUGUGUGAUUUGGCAUGUCUCGAACUGUGAAGUAGAUGCAAUGCAGGCAAAAAAUUGAUGAUGCUACGGGGAGGGGCUGUGUAGGGUGUUAAUCGCCAUCUGCAGUGCCUGAAGGUGGGGUGGGGAGAAGUGAAGAAUCUCUUCCUUUUUAAUAGAUUUUCAAGAUGGGAAAAUCAUAUUGCAACCCACAGGCAUUUGGAAACAAUUUGUGCCGAAGACAGAAAGUACACCUAACGUUAAGCUGAAAAAACUGGACGCUCCCAGCAAACUCACUUUGCAGAUUCCUGGAUGUCAGAAGAAAAUGCCAGAGGAUUUCACUUGGCAUUGACCCCUUACUACUUCCAGCCACUUACCCUGGACAGUAGAAAGAAGGAACAGAAAGCAGGGUAGCUUAAGAGGAGGCUUUGUUACAGGGUCAACUUCUCGGUGCAUGGCUCCUUCCAGUCUGAUAAGAACCAUCCCUCAGCCUUCAGACGAACAGGUCCAGCUGUGCUCAAGCAGCAGCUGUAUCUCUUUAUCAGAGAGCUGCCGUCGGUCCAGAAACUAUUUUGAUAGUGCAAUAAUGAAGAUUGACUUCCUUCUAGAAAUGACAGUCUUUAACUGGUGAAUGACAGAGUCUGGUAAUUCUGGAAAGAGGCCUGUAGAUUGCCACUUGGGGAGUCCAG
rnacentral:lncRNA from 1 species